AGGGGUAUAGUUCAGUGGUAGAACACUGGUCUCCAAAACCAGGUGCCGUGGGUUCAAAUCCUGCUACCCCUG
rfam:Peptoniphilus duerdenii ATCC BAA-1640 genomic scaffold SCAFFOLD1, whole genome shotgun sequence.